ACCCCUCCACCAGCCUAAUCUUAUUCCUUUUCUCCUCUCUUUCUCUCUCAGCCAAGAAACAACCUAGUGGGUUGUUGGAGCUGAAUUCUUGUUGUUGGAGCUUGCUCGAACAAAGGGACUAGCUGAGGAAGCUUUGGAACUCAGGGGCUGUUAAAAGUAACAACUUGGUAGUUCAACUUGUUGAAGCUGCCGAAUUGGAAGUUGGGUGGUGGAGUUGAUGCUGUGAAGAAUUUUGGGUGUCGUGAGCUGAGAGGAAAGCUUUUGGGAGUAGAGUAUCAGUUGGUAGGGCCUCGAAAUUAAGGCUUGUUGGUUGCUGAAUCUGGCAUACUUGGGCUCGAGUGAAGUUUCUUGCUGAACCGAGCUGGAGAAAGGAGAUUAAGCUAAGUACAGCUUGGUGGAGCUUUGAAUUCAGGUAUGUUGUGAAGCAGAAUCUAAGCUGUUGGAGCUGAAAGAAAGCUUGUUGAAGCUGCGAAUUGAGCGGCUGCACAAAGAGGAAGUAAAGUGCAGAAAAUUCAGCAGGGUGCUGAAAUUUCAGCAUAAGUGCAGAAAUUUCAGCAUAGUGCAGAUUUUGAAGUUGAGUGGAAAAGAGAGCUUUAGAACAGCAUUUCUCGCUAAUUGAAGCUGAAGGGGGGCUGCACAAAGAGAAGUAGUAGUGCUGAAAUUUCAGUAUAGUGCAAAAUUUCAGCAUUAGAAAUUCCUGCUGUGGAGCUAAGAACGAAUUAAUUGAGCAGUGAACUACGAUCGGCGGCGCACUAAUUACGGUAGAAGCCGUUCUAGCUCUAUUUACACUGAGUCGCGAGAGCUCGUUGUUGAUACAGUUCGAGACGUUGAUUCCAGUUUGUUGGCAUCUCUACAGGUGGGGGGUGCUAUCCGAAAUCAUUGAAUCACUCUUUAUGUCUAUGUUGCCUUCUUGAGCAUAUUUGUAUAUGAAUCAUGUAAUAUUCAUGCAUUAUAUGGUAAUUGGCAUUGUGUAGUUAUGAAAUGAACAUUUGGACAAAUCUCAUGUUAAGAACAGGUGAAACAUAGAGUGUGGACAUAGAACCCUAUGAAUGGGUGAAUUUUACUGUGGACUAUGACAAUAGUAAAUUUGGUGACAUCACAACUAGAAAUUUGGUUAGCAUUAAGAUUGGAAAUAUCAAACUAGCAUAAAGAGCUAGUUAGAGUCAAAGUGUGGCAUUGUCUUUCAUUGGAUCCUCUAAAAGAGGAUCAGAUCAU